UGUUUUUCAGUCUGGUAAGUAAUCUCAAAUGCAAACAAAGUUGUCUUUGAAGCAGAGCACAUUUGCAAACAUGGCUUGAUGAAAUUGAACUUUUUAUUCACGAGACAAGUUUUAAAAGUAGCUAGAGAAUGUGUUUGCAAAGUGUGUGUGUGGUGUGUGCGCGUUAACCCUAAAACCUUUUCUAAUUACCAGUUAAUUGUAACAGAAGUCAAAGGGGACUUGGGAGUGACUGAUGCUGAAGGAAAUGUGAUCAUUGGUUCUAAAAGUAGACGUACCACUGCAUCAGAGAAGGAGGCAGUCAGUCACUGGGAAGAACAUGCAGAAGAGAGAGGUCUUGUCUCAUCGCUGCAACUCCCAUACGGACUUGGGAGAGGCGAAGGUCGAGAGCCAUGCGUCCUCCGAAACACAACCCAACCAAGCUGCACUGCUUCUUGACACAAUGCCCAUCCAACCCGGAAGCCAGCCGCACCAAUGUGUCGGAGGAAACACCGUACACUUGGCGACCUGGCCCGCCACAGGAGUCGCUAGUGCGCAAUGAGACAAGGAUAUCCCUGCCGGCCAAGCCCUCCCUAACCCGGACAACUCUGGGCCAAUUGUGCGCCGCCCCAUGGGUCUCCCGGUCGCGGCUGGCUGUGACAGAGCCUGGACUCCAACCCAGAAUCUCUAGUGUCACAGCCUUAGACCACUGCGCCACCCGGAAGGCCUGGUUUACAGUGGAUUUAUGGAAAUCAUGAAGCUCAUCUGCAUUCCUUAAGAUCCUACAUCUGUAAAUUGUCUCAAAACUGUGUAGACUAAUUUCUGAUCAGCCAUGAGUCAGUCCUUAUAAUCUCAGAACCCAGUACUGGUAACUGUCUGUCACAAGAGACUAGGGCUUAUCUCACUAGAAUGUGUCAGUUUAGUUAAACACCUACAGAAGAAGUGGGGAUAGCCUCAUUGUCAUGUUUAUCCUUUUUGAGUCAUACAGAAUGUGUACAGUGCCUUGUGAAAGUAUUCACCCCCUUGGCAUUUUUACUAUUUUGUUGCCUUACAACCUGGAAUUAAAAUAGAUUUUUUGGGGGGUUGUAUCAUUUGAUUC
ensembl:lncRNA